rnacentral:misc_RNA from 1 species
UAAAAUUAAUGUUUCUAGUUAAGGUAUCAUAUAUGCUAACUUUAGACCUUUAAACACACAGCAGGCAAAAGCUAUGAGUUCAGAUGCGGAGCAUAGAAUUUAGCUUCAAACAUCUAUGAUUAACACACAAGAUCACAUAAUUUCAAACAAGUACUGAAAUUAUAGUUACAAUAUAAUUACAGCAAUAGCACAAUUAUGGUAUAGAAAUCCUAUCAUUCAAACACCUGGAAUGAAAUAAUUUCACAAAGACGAAUACCCAGUAAGCUCAUUUUCAGUCCACUUGAUUAUGAAUCAGCCUUUACCACGGUUGCUGCUUCCCCACUACCGGUUAUACUUGAAUCACAGGCAUGUAACAUAGUACAUAUGUCUCUGGUUUCCAGAAACUGUUCUGCAUUGACAAGGAUAAUAGGACCAUACUCGAAAACCAACUUCUUGCACUUUGCUGCAUAGUUCUCCAUUGAAUCACAUCCCUUUAGAAGUAUCUCAAUUAUCUCAAGCUGUGUGUCGGGAUUUUUCAACUUGAGUAAUACUUCUGAAACAGCACGAUGGCAAAUUCCACAUUUAUCUUGUUGGAGUUUUGAGGAAAUGAACACCAUUUCAUGACAGAGAUUGACUUUUCGACAGAAUUCUUCAGCUUGAACUGAGGAAACCUCCAGAAAGAAGAGAGGAGCAUAAUAGUCCACCAAAGUGAUGCACUGUUGCUUGAAAGAAGGCACUUGAGAACAGGCUACAUGAAGAACGUCAAUAAUUUCGGUCUGGGUCUUGUUUUCAGUUAGGUAAUCAAGUGCUUGGGAAGCAAAGUCCUCACACAAUGUGCAAACUUGAUUAUUCCUGGUAAUUCCAUUAGAAGCUUGAUCUUCCCUCUCUUGCUCAUGGUCUUUCACUUGUGUAGCUGAACCAGGAAGAUAUCAAUUUUUGGUAAUAUUACAAUUUUCACAUCAAUAAUCCUUGAAGUAUUCCCCAAUGAAGAAAGGAGUGCUGAUUAAUGCCACAAAUUUAAAACAUCUUAAAUGGGAAAGUCAUUUGAUAUAUCCUUCUCAACAAGGAUCAAAGUCAAAAUUUUGAUAAGUAUCUAAAUUUUAUAGCUAUAUUUAGUUGUGAUAAGCAAUUUUAUGUUUUCCAUUUCCGGUUUUCUACUAUAAUACCAUUCAGGACUUGUCUACCCAAGAUCAUCAUGCCAUGAGGCACAAACAUGGCAACUGUUGGUGUUAAGAGUCCCAUAGUUUUUUUUUCCUUGUAUAAAUUGGCACCUCAAAGAAUGCAUAACUACUUAUUUUAACACAAAAUCAGGACAAAAUAUAAGCUGUGUGUUGUUGAAAAGGUCCAUCAGAGUGUUAUCAGGUCUUUGCCAAGUAAACCAAGCUUGAUUUAAAAGUUUUUCAACAGUAAAGCUACUGAUGAACUUGAGCAUUAAAAUCAGCAAAACAUAAUUUUAAACAACAGUGAGCUAAAAUUUAGCAUUCUGACCACAUGAAAUUCAAAUUUUGUAUGACAAUGCGCUCUGGUCAAGCAGGACCAGGAGUAGUGUGCACCAGCAUAAAUUACAGAAGCUCAACAGACUCAUAAAAUGUGUAAACCCUUGUCUAAAAGACACAAACAAAGUUGGAUUAUAAGGCCUAAAAUUGCAUACUCUUCUAUUGAAUAAUAUCAGAAUUUAAAAGUUACCUGCUAUAUCAGUGAUCACCAUACUUUUAUAAGAAAGCCUAGUGUCUGCCAUUUGUCUAGCAGCACAAGCCCAGCCAGCACCCAACACAAGAAGGAAUAAAAGCCCCAUUCUCACGGCCAUGAUAACUGAAGUUACAAAAAAGUAACACCAACAUCAAAUUAUAAAAUAUAUACAAGAAACUUCUCUCUGGACAAUGAAAAAGCCAAUGUAAUUGAUGAUGUAUUGAUAACUACAGACUAAAAUUACUACAGAUAUGGGAAAAAUAAGUUCUGAUGUAGUUAAUAUGGGAAAUGCUUAAGAGAGGAUUAUUUUUAGAAUUGUUUCAGGGGCAGAUUACUUAGUAUUAGCAAGGGUGUGAAGAAGGAGUUGAGAUGCAAGGAACUCAUGCUUCACACAUUCUGCUGUAUCUAGAAUAUGUUAUUUUGGCAUGAUUUACAUUAGAUAUUACUUGACAAAGAAUAGAACUCCAUGAUAUUUAAUUCUGACUUGUGAUAAUCAAAUGAUUUCUGGCUGCUUCCAUAGUUAAGAUUCCACUCUCAAAUUAUAGCUACAUUUCUCACUCUCCCCAGUUAUUGAUUAGCCAAGAAUGGUUGGGAGUCAGUAAUUAAAUCCAUAUAUGACAUAUGUUUCAUGUCAUCCAUAGUAUGUGUUUCUUAAGGGAUCAUGUAACAUGAGCCCAAAACAUGCUUGCAACAAUUAUGAAGGCAGCCAAAAGCCAUCUCCUCCCAACUAGCUCAAUCAUAUCUCUAUCCUCUUCCUUCCUUUUUUUCAGCUAACUUAGCAUGUUUUAUGCCACAACUACGCCGAUUAAUCACCUUAUCAGUUAUUACAAAAUAAAAAAAGGAGACAAGCUAGCAGUCAGAGCUUAAAUUUCUCAAGAGAAUCCACUUCCCAAAAGUGUAACAAAAACCUUAAGCCAAGGGCAUAAUUAACUCAGAUUCGAAUCAACUGAUAUCCAAUUACUAACCAGCACAAAAAUAAAAUCAACACCAAAUGAAAAUGAUAAAAUGUCAUAUAUAAUAAGAACCGUCCACGAAUUUCACAGAGUCUCAAAGAGCAAAAAUUUGAGUCCUAUUAUUCAAACUAACAAACUAAUCUAAUCCAACAACAACGCAUAAUUAAAUUCAAAUCAAAAGAAUGAAAUCUGUAAGAUUAUAAUAAACUUCUAGCGAGAUUACGCUAUAUAUACAGAAGGGCACAACCAGAAAAAGAAAAUAAAAAGGAUAAAGAUUAAAAGAAAUCUAAU